GACGAACGCUGGCGGCGUGCCUAAUACAUGCAAGUAGAACGCUGAAGGAGGAGCUUGCUCUUCUGGAUGAGUUGCGAACGGGUGAGUAACGCGUAGGUAACCUGCCUGGUAGCGGGGGAUAGCUAUUGGAAACGAUAGCUAAUACCGCAUAACAGUAGAUGUUGCAUGACAUUUGCUUAAAAGGUGCAAUUGCAUCACUACCAGAUGGACCUGCGUUGUAUUAGCUAGUUGGUGGGGUAACGGCUCACCAAGGCGACGAUACAUAGCCGACCUGAGAGGGUGAUCGGCCACACUGGGACUGAGACACGGCCCAGACUCCUACGGGAGGCAGCAGUAGGGAAUCUUCGGCAAUGGACGGAAGUCUGACCGAGCAACGCCGCGUGAGUGAAGAAGGUUUUCGGAUCGUAAAGCUCUGUUGUAAGAGAAGAACGAGUGUGAGAGUGGAAAGUUCACACUGUGACGGUAUCUUACCAGAAAGGGACGGCUAACUACGUG
rnacentral:rRNA from 1 species